AUUGAACGCUGGCGGCAUGCCUAACACAUGCAAGUCGAACGAAUGGCGGACGGGUGAGUAAUGUCUGGGAAACUGCCUGAUGGAGGGGGAUAACUACUGGAAACGGUAGCUAAUACCGCAUACCAUCGGAUGUGCCCAGAUGGGAUUAGCUAGUAGGUGGGGUAACGGCUUACCUAGGCGACGAUCCCUAGCUGGUAUGAGAGGAUGACCAGCCACAUUGGAACUGAGACACGGCCCAGACUCCUACGGGAGGCAGCAGUGGGGAAUAUUGCACAAUGGGCGCAAGUCUGAUGCAGCCAGGCCGCGUGUGUGAAGAAGGGUUUCGGAUUGUAAAGUACUUUCAGUGGGGAGGCGUUACCCGAAGAAGAAGCACCGGCUAACUCCGUGCCAGCAGCCGCGGUAAUAC
rnacentral:rRNA from 1 species